rnacentral:rRNA from 1 species
CAGGGAAUCUUGCGCAAUGGGCGAAAGCCUGACGCAGCAACGCCGCGUGGGUGAUGAAGGCUCUCGGGUCGUAAAGCCCUUUUCUGGGGGACGAAGAUCUGACGGUACCCCAGGAAGAAGCCACGGCUAACUACGUGCCAGCAGCCGCGGUAAUACGUAGGUGGCAAGCGUUGUCCGGAGUUAUUGGGCGUAAAGCGCGCGCAGGCGGUUCGAAAAGUCCAUGGUGAAAGCGCCCGGCUCAACUGGGCGAGUGCCGUGGGGACUGUCGAGCUGGAGGGGAGCAGAGGCGAGUGGAAUUCCGGGUGUAGUGGUGAAAUGCGUAGAGAUCCGGAGGAACACCAGUGGCGAAGGCGGCUCGCUGGGCUCUACCUGACGCUGAGGCGCGAAAGCGUGGGGAGCGAACCGGAUUAGAUACCCCCGUAGUCC